GCGGCGAUGAGGUAGUGGUAGCCUCGCAGCCUUCCAAGCUGCUUGCCCGGGUUCGAAUCCCGGUCGCCGCA
rnacentral:tRNA from 1 species